UACUCCUACGGGAGGCAGCAGUAGGGAAUCUUCCGCAAUGGACGAAAGUCUGACGGAGCAACGCCGCGUGAGUGAUGAAGGCUUUCGGGUCGUAAAACUCUGUUGUUAGGGAAGAACAAGUGCUAGUUGAAUAAGCUGGCACCUUGACGGUACCUAACCAGAAAGCCACGGCUAACUACGUGCCAGCAGCCGCGGUAAUA
rnacentral:rRNA from 2 species